AUGAACGCUAGCGACAGGCCUAACACAUGCAAGUCGAGGGGCAGCACAAGGAGCAAUCUGAGGUGGCGACCGGCGCACGGGUGAGUAACACGUAUGCAACCUGCCUGUAAGCGGGGAAUAACCCGUUGAAAGACGGACUAAUACCGCAUAAUACUAAAUUACUGCAUGGUAAUUUAUUUAAACAUUUAUGGCUUACAGAUGGGCAUGCGCAUGAUUAGCUAGUUGGAGAGGUAACGGCUCCCCAAGGCAACGAUCAUUAGGGGUUCUGAGAGGAAGGUCCCCCACACUGGUACUGAGACACGGACCAGACUCCUACGGGAGGCAGCAGUGAGGAAUAUUGGUCAAUGGACGAGAGUCUGAACCAGCCAAGUCGCGUGCAGGAAGAAUGUCCUAUUGGAUUGUAAACUGCUUUUGCAGGGGAAUAAAGUGCAUCACGCGUGAUGUUUUGUAUGUACUCUGCGAAUAAGGAUCGGCUAACUCCGUGCCAGCAGCUGC
rnacentral:rRNA from 1 species